rnacentral:rRNA from 1 species
AUACGUAGGUGACAAGCGUUAUCCGGAUUUACUGGGCGUAAAGGGCGUGUAGGCGGUCUUGCAAGUCAGAAGUGAAAUUCCUGAGCUCAACUCGGGCGCUGCUUCUGAAACUGCAGGACUUGAGUGCUGGAGGGGAUAGCGGAAUUCCUAGUGGAGCGGUAAAAUGCGCAGAUAUUAGGAAGAACACCGGUGGCGAAGGCGGGUAUCUGGACAGUAACUGACGCGGAGGGGGGAAAGAGUGGGGAGCAAACAGGAUUAGAUACCCUGCUAGGCCACGCCGUAAACGAUGAAUACUAGGUGUAGGGGGUAUCGACUCCCGCUGUGCCGCAGUUAUCACAAUAAGUAUUCCGCCUGGGGAGUACGGCCGCAAGGUUGAAACUCAAAUGAAUUGACGGGG